AUGAUUCAGCCAGUUCAUGUUGGGUAUGAUGGUUCCGUGAAACGUUGUCGGGUCCAUGAUACGGUGCUUGAUCUCGUCAUAUCUUUAUCUGAUGAAGAGAACUUUGCUACCGUUUUACAUGGACGUAUUUGCAAUUCAUUUUCAAGCAAGAUUCAUCGUCUGUCAAUGCAAUCUAGUGCCAAAGAGCAGGGUGAGGCGGUCCAUGCAAUCACAGAAACCAAGUCACAUGUUCGCUCACUGACUAUGUUUGGGCAAGUUAAGCAGAUAUGCCACCUCGUGGACUUUCAUGCUUUGCGGGUGUUGGAUCUCGUACGAUGUGAAUGGUUGGAAAACAAGCAUGUAAAAAAUAUAGAAAGUUCAUGCCAGCUUAGGUAUUUGCAACUUAGCAGUUUUAAAAUCACAGAGCUUCCUGGGGAAAUCGGAAAGCUGCAGCACUUAGAGACUCUUGAUAUGAGAGGAUGUUAUUAUCUUCCAAGACUGCCAUCAACUGUUAUGCAAUUGCAAAAAUUGGUGCGCCUACUUGUGAGCCGUCGAACAGAGUUGCCUGCAAGUGAGUUUGGGAGUAUGCAAGCCUUGCAGGAGUUGGAGAAGUUAAAUAUCUGGAACAAUGACAAGAUUGCAAAUACAUGA
rnacentral:rRNA from 1 species